CCCUUAGAUGUUCUGGGCCGCACGCGCGCUACACUGACGAAGUCAGCGAGCAUGUCCUACGCCUACAGGUGCGGGGAAUCUUGUCAAACUUCGUCGUGAUGGGGAUUGAUUAUUGAAAUUCUUGAUCAUCAACGAGGAAUUCCUAGUAAGCGCAAGUCAGCAGCUUGCGUUGAUUACGUCCCUGCCCUUUGUACACACCGCCCGUCGCUACUACCGAUCGGAUGGUUUAGUGAGACCCUCGGACUGGUCCCGCUGUCGGACAGGCAACUGUUUGCAGCGCGUGCGCCGGGAAGAAGGUCGAACUUGACUAUCUAGAGGAAGUAAAAGUCGUAACA
rnacentral:rRNA from 1 species